GGCCUAAUGGUCUAGUGGUAUGAUUCCUGCUUUGGGCUUGUUUCCUAAGCUGCAGGAGGCCCCGCGUUCGAAUCGCGGUUGGGCCC
rnacentral:tRNA from 1 species